AACGAACGCUGGCGGCAUGCCUAACACAUGCAAGUCGAACGAUCCCUUCGGGGCUAGUGGCGCACGGGUGCGUAACGCGUGGGAACCUGCCCUUAGGUUCGGAAUAACUCAGCGAAAUUUGUGCUAAUACCGGAUAAUGUCUUCGGACCAAAGAUUUAUCGCCUUUGGAUGGGCCCGCGUUGGAUUAGCUAGUUGGUGGGGUAAAGGCCUACCAAGGCGACGAUCCAUAGCUGGUCUGAGAGGAUGAUCAGCCACACUGGGACUGAGACACGGCCCAGACUCCUACGGGAGGCAGCAGUGGGGAAUAUUGGACAAUGGGCGAAAGCCUGAUCCAGCAAUGCCGCGUGAGUGAUGAAGGCCUUAGGGUUGUAAAGCUCUUUUACCCGGGAUGAUAAUGACAGUACCGGGAGAAUAAGCCCCGGCUAACUCCGUG
rnacentral:rRNA from 1 species